UUUAAAGAGAGUUUGAUCCUGGCUCAGGACGAACGCUGGCGGCGUGCCUAAUACAUGCAAGUCGAACGAACGGAGGAAGAGCUUGCUCUUCCAAAGUUAGUGGCGGACGGGUGAGUAACACGUGGGCAACCUGCCUGUAAGUUGGGGAUAACUCCGGGAAACCGGGGCUAAUACCGAAUGAUAAGGAGUGACGCAUGUCACUGCUUUGAAAGAUGGUUUCGGCUAUCGCUUACAGAUGGGCCCGCGGUGCAUUAGCUAGUUGGUAGGGUAAAGGCCUACCAAGGCAACGAUGCAUAGCCGACCUGAGAGGGUGAUCGGCCACACUGGGACUGAGACACGGCCCAGAC
rnacentral:rRNA from 1 species